GACGGUUGGGUCACCCUGUCGAACACCUGGCGGGCGUAGGCGAGGUGGGCGGGGCCCGCGCCCGGGCCGGUGCAGAGCGUGAGGAGCCUGGUGACCAAGGCGGGGUGCGCGGCGAGGCCGGCCUUAACGGCGGCGGCGUGGAGCUGGGCGAGCCCGCGGAGGCUGGUGCAGUGCGGGAGGUGGGAGAGGAGCGGGUGCUGCGGUGCUGCGCUCUUGGGUUUGUUGGCGGGAAGGAGAGGGGCUGGCGUGGCGGUCAGAGGCGCGGACGACAUGGCCGCCCGCCCAGCACCCCAGUCCCGUUAUCUUCGAGAGAGAGUAGCG
rnacentral:misc_RNA from 1 species